rnacentral:rRNA from 1 species
UACAGGGGGUGCAAGCGUUGCUCGGAAUCAUUGGGCGUAAAGCGCACGUAGGCGGUUCGUUAUGUCGGAUGUGAAAGCCCUUGGCUUAACCGAGGAAGUGCAUCCGAAACUGGCGAGCUAGAGUACGAAAGAGGAUCGCGGAAUUCCCGGUGUAGAGGUGAAAUUCGUAGAUAUCGGGAGGAACACCCGUGGCUAAGGCGGCUCUCUAGUACGGUACUGACGCUGAGACGCGAAAGCGUGGGGAGCGAACAGG